AUUGAACGCUGGCGGCAGGCCUAACACAUGCAAGUCGAACGAGUGGCGGACGGGUGAGUAAUGCUUGGGAAACUGGCUGAUGGAGGGGGAUAACUACUGGAAACUGUAGCUAAUACCGCAUACCCUCAGAUGAGCACAAGUGGGAUUAGGUAGUUGGUGGGGUAAAGGCUCACCAAGGCGACGAUCCCUAGCUGGUCUGAGAGGAUGACCAGCAACACUGGGACUGAGACACGGCCCAGACUCCGACGGGAGGCAGCAGUGGGGAAUAUUGCGCAAUGGGGGCAAGCCUGACGCAGCCAUGCCGCGUGAAUGAAGAAGGCCUUCGGGUUGUAAAGUUCUUUCGGCAGGGAGGCGUUACCCACAGAAGAAGCACCGGCUAACUCCGUGCCAGCAGCCGCGGUAAUAC
rnacentral:rRNA from 1 species